UCUCCAGCAUAGGAUCCUCUAUUCUAAGCCUUCAAGGUCAUGAGCAAACUGGCACACUCCAGUCCAACGUGUUAAGCUCAGCCUCUCACUAACAGGUAGGUCCGUGCUCACUGAUAUGACCCCACUUUGGAUUUAGGAAUAGCCUCUUAGAUGCUAACAUUAAUCUGUUGGAAGAUUUUGCAAGGAGAGAGAGAGGAGUAAUCUGGGAUUCCUGAGGGCUUUGUUGCAAAGGAAGAGCAAUGAGUUGUUGAAAGGGACCCAGGCCGGGGGCAGCGGCUCACAUCUGUAAUACAACACUUUGGGAGGCUGAGGCGGGUGGAUCACUUGAGGUCAGGAGUUUGAGACCAGCCUGGCCAACAUGGCAAAACCCUGUCUCUACUAAAAAUAUAAAAAUCAGCCAGGCGUGGUGGCGCACGCCUGUAUUCCCAGCUACUGGGGAAGCUGAGGCAGGAGAAUCGCUUGAGCCCAAGAGGUGGCGGUUGCAGUGAGCUGAGAUUGUGCCACUGCACUCCAGCCUGGGUGACAGAGCGAGACUCCGUCUAAAAAAAAAAAAAAAGCACCCAAAGGUCAGCUGCUUCUGCCCUACUUCCAUGGAAUUGUCACUUUGAUCCCUGAGUUCUAUUUUAGAUUCUACAACACAAGGAGAACCCUUAUCUAAAUCCUUAUAUGUACAGUGUGUUUCCCAUGAUAUUGUAAUUGAAGAUUUACUCUGUGCCAGGCACUGAAAAAAACACUUUUACUUUAUUUAAUGGUCAUCAAGACCUGAUGGUGGGAAUUAUUAUUAUCCUUAUUUUAUAGAAGAGGAAAAUAAGGGCCAAAGAGAUUAAGUCCCUUACUCAAGGUAACAGCAGUGGGUAAGUGGCAAAACUGGAGUUUAAGUCAAGGACUAGCUGCCUUCGGAGUCUGAGCUCUCAACUGCAGUGUGACACACGGAGAGGUGCUGUGGUGGAGAGAGAGCCACGGAGUGAAUUUGCGGUAGCCUAGGGCUUAGUCUAUCCCAACUCGUGUGAUCUUGAGCAAGUAAUUUAACCUCUCUGGACCCCUCCCUCCUUGAAGGGAUGGCAGCAUUGGAAGCUUGUCAAGGUUCAGGGUAAUAUAUGCCAGGCUCUCAGGGUAGACUAGGGUCUCCAUAAAUGGCAAACAUUAUAUAUCAUAGCAGAGAAAUCUUGGAAAGGCAAGUCCACUGGGAAAUCGGGAUGUAACUUCAAAUCCUCUAACUGUGAUGGCAGUGUUUCCUACAUGAUGUCAUAACUCCGGGAACUUGGAGGAGAGUUGGGAUAUACCUCUUUCCAAGAGAUGCUUUGAGAUGAAAAAAUAAAACUUGGAAAGGUGAUCAAGGUAUAUCCUUAUUCCUGUGACAUCCAUUUUUUUCUCUCCUAGAUCGCCCGUCAGCGCACAACCCGCUGUAGGAGUUCCCAUCUUAUAACAACCCUCCCUUGAUCCCACAUCAUGUCAGCUACGGUCCUAUUUUUCUGCUCCACUUCGCAGCUAAGGUCUGAGGCCCGCUGCCCAAGGGGUACUUCAAGUCCGUGAGGGGAGAUUAGCAAUACUGAGCAGAGUCUCAGUUUGAACCUAAACUGGUUUCACUCUGGAAUUCACGUAAGUCAAUGCAAGCAACGUCCCUGAAAGAAAUGAAGAGUUGAGAGCUCUUAGGGAGGAGCUCAUUUCUGGGGGUCAGGAGGAAAGCACACAGGCCUGCUGAAGGCAAUGCUUCAGGUUUGGGGCUUAGAGAGACCUUGAGGGUUACAGGAGUUGAGUGCUGAGGCCAAGACCAGCCCAGGUCCAGGGCUUCUCACCUGCGUAGUAGGGAGAUGGGGCUGGGAGGGAAAGUGAAAAAAACUGGGGAGAUUUUGGCAGUGCCAGCAACACACUCAGGGAAACCUGGCCCUAUUCCCCUGCAGGUGGCUGGGCUGGAAUUGGUAGAGGGUGGAGGCCAACGUGGCAAAUGGGUGCAGGCAACCUCAGGGAUGCAUGUGGGAGGAAGGACCUGGGGAGGCUACCUGAGGUGCUGAGUCACAGGUUGGCUCACGGGGUACACAGGUACAGAGUGUGAACACAGAAAGAGCCAAAAAAAAAAAAAAAAA
ensembl:lncRNA